GUUAAAAGCAAGAACAUAUUAACAGACAGAAGCUGAAAAAGAUUACUUUGCACUUUCACAAAUACAUAUUACUUGGAUCUUACUACUUUAUGAAGGAUGUUCCAUAUCAGAACUGUCACAAUCAUUUUACUAUGUUCUACCUGCAACUCUAAUAUAAUACAAACUCCUGCUGUGGAAACAUUAGAAGGAACAGAGAUUCAGUCUCAGGGGAAAAA